UACGAAGGGGCUAGCGUUGCUCGGAAUCACUGGGCGUAAAGGGUGCGUAGGCGGGUUUUUAAGUCAGGGGUGAAAUCCUGGAGCUCAACUCCAGAACUGCCUUUGAUACUGAAGAUCUUGAGUCCGGGAGAGGUGAGUGGAACUGCGAGUGUAGAGGUGAAAUUCGUAGAUAUUCGCAAGAACACCAGUGGCGAAGGCGGCUCACUGGCCCGGUACUGACGCUGAGGCACGAAAGCGUGGGGAGCAAACAGGG
rnacentral:rRNA from 1 species